rnacentral:tRNA from 1 species
GGCCCCAUGGCGGAAUUGGUAGACGCACACGACUUAAAAUCGUGAGUCCUUGUGGCGUCCGAGUUCGAGUCUCGGUGGGGCCACCA